GAUGAACGCUGGCGGCGUGCCUAAUACAUGCAAGUCGAGCGAACGGACGAGAAGCUUGCUUCUCUGAUGUUAGCGGCGGACGGGUGAGUAACACGUGGAUAACCUACCUAUAAGACUGGGAUAACUUCGGGAAACCGGAGCUAAUACCGGAUAAUAUUUUGAACCGCAUGGUUCAAAAGUGAAAGACGGUCUUGCUGUCACUUAUAGAUGGAUCCGCGCUGCAUUAGCUAGUUGGUAAGGUAACGGCUUACCAAGGCAACGAUGCAUAGCCGACCUGAGAGGGUGAUCGGCCACACUGGAACUGAGACACGGUCCAGACUCCUACGGGAGGCAGCAGUAGGGAAUCUUCCGCAAUGGGCGAAAGCCUGACGGAGCAACGCCGCGUGAGUGAUGAAGGUCUUCGGAUCGUAAAACCCUGUUAUUAGGGAAGAACAUAUGUGUAAGUAACUGUGCACAUCGUGACGGUACCUAAUCAGAAAGCCACGGCUAACUACGUG
rnacentral:rRNA from 1 species